rnacentral:rRNA from 1 species
GUGUCAGCCGCCGCGGUAACACGUAGGGGGCAAGCGUUGUCCGGAUUUAUUGGGCGUAAAGAGCUCGUAGGUGGCUGAGUAAGUCGGAUGUUAAAUCCCCAGGCUCAACCUGGGACACCACCCGAUACUGCUCUGGCUAGAGUCCGGUAGGGGAGCGUGGAAUUCCUGGUGUAGCGGUGAAAUGCGCAGAUAUCAGGAGGAACACCAGCGGCGAAGGCGGCGCUCUGGGCCGGUACUGACACUGAGGAGCGAAAGCGUGGGUAGCAAACAGGAUUAGAAACCCGGGUAGUCC